rnacentral:rRNA from 1 species
GAUGAACGCUGGCGGCGUGCCUAAUACAUGCAAGUCGAGCGAACAGACGAGGAGCUUGCUUCUCUGACGUUAGCGGCGGACGGGUGAGUAACACGUGGAUAACCUACCUAUAAGACUGGGAUAACUUCGGGAAACCGGAGCUAAUACCGGAUAAUAUAUUGAACCGCAUGGUUCAAUAGUGAAAGACGGUUUUGCUGUCACUUAUAGAUGGAUUCGCGCCGCAUUAGCUAGUUGGUAAGGUAACGGCUUACCAAGGCAACGAUGCGUAGCCGACCUGAGAGGGUGAUCGGCCACACUGGAACUGAGACACGGUCCAGACUCCUACGGGCGGCAGCAGUAGGGAAUCUUCCGCAAUGGGCGAAAGCCUGACGGAGCAACGCCGCGUGAGUGAUGAAGGUCUUCGGAUCGUAAAACUCUGUUAUUAGGGAAGAACAAAUGUGUAAGUAACUAUGCACGUCUUGACGGUACCUAAUCAGAAAGCCACGGCUAACUACGUG